UACGUAGGGUGCGAGCGUUAAUCGGAAUUACUGGGCGUAAAGCGUGCGCAGGCGGUCUGUUAAGACAGAUGUGAAAUCCCCGGGCUUAACCUGGGAACUGCACUUGUGACUGGCAGGCUAGAGUAUGGCAGAGGGGGGUAGAAUUCCACGUGUAGCAGUGAAAUGCGUAGAGAUGUGGAGGAAUACCGAUGGCGAAGGCAGCCCCCUGGGCCAAUACUGACGCUCAUGCACGAAAGCGUGGGGAGCAAACAGG
rnacentral:rRNA from 1 species